UCCCUCUUAGCUCAGUGGUAGAGCGCGUCACUAGUAUUCCACGGGACACCCUUACAAUGGGAUGACGAGGUCAGUCGUUCAAGUCGGCUAGAGGGAA